ensembl:lncRNA
AUGUGUGGCACAGUGGUUACGAUGCUGAUUGGGAUGCCUGGAAUGGAGUCCCCGCUCCGCUUCCUAUUCCAAAUCCCUGCUCACGCACAUUCUGAGGGCAGUGGUGAGGUUCAAGUACUUGGGUCCUUGUCACUCAUGAGUUCCCUGUUUGCCCUGGCUGUUGCAACCUUAGGUAGAUGUCUCUGUCUCUCUGCCUUUCAAAUAAAAUGUAAAAAAAAAAAAAAAAGAAAGCACCAAGAAAUACUUUUAGUUCUACCAUUUUUUACUUCAUGCCAGUCAAUUCUUAUAACUCAACUCUAUAUAACUUAUUCAUCAAUUCAACCAACAGGUAUUGACCACGUGCUAUAUGCAAGGCACUGGAGAAACAAAAAUGAGCAUGAACUCUCAGCCUGGAAGAUGGUCUUACUCUGACAGUGGCACACUGUGGAUAUUAAAUACACGAGCGUUCUCAUCUACUCCUAUUUGCAUUCCUGCCAGUUUUCAUGGUGGUCAGGACCCACAAACUCAGUUCUCAUUACUGAAUCCAAAUUUUUUUCCAAUGAAAUGUUUUUCCUGACAUGUUAAGAGUUAUUUCUACUUAUAUGUAUGAAGGAGUUUCAAGCUUCUAAUUACUCUUUAAAAUCAAUAAUUUGACUUUUAGCUGUUUCUUAUCAUUGGGCUGAAUUUUGCAUUUUUUUCCUUAGCCACUCUCAUUUUCUUAGUAAACAAGUCCAAUUAUACUUCAUGUCACAUCAGUUACCUGUGUAUUCUUUCCUCACCCCACUGCUUUUGUCUUGAUCCCCCCCAAACACUUCCUGCAGUGAACUCAGAUCUUCCCAUUUACGCAUUUAUCGCAUUAUUUAUAUUACUGCUUUAUUACCUCCUUGUGCUGAAUAUGGAGUAGCAUUCUGCAACCCGUCUUAGCAGGUCUCAUGCUCAUUCCGUGACAUAGUGAGGUUCCUGCCCUUUACUAAGAUUUCUCAUUAAGUCAGCUGUGAUUUUUAGCACUGUGACAAGCCAUGAAAGGAUCUGGUUUGGGAGUCUGGCACCUGAGCACCAGAAGUAUUCAAGAAAUGGACUUUCUGCAGUAAAAGUUACAGGGGACCUUAGUUUACAAAUUAAGUGACAAUAAUGGGAACCAAAUGCCUGAUCUUUCCCUUCAGGAUGACUUCAGAUGUCCAAAUCUAGUGAAACUAUAGCUACCAUGUUUGAAAGAUUAAUUCAUGUUUAGGAUGUUUACCUUUUGCCUGUUUAAAUCUGUACACACCUAAGGGUUAUAUAUACAUUAGUUUCUCUAUCCUAACAGAUCAUCUUUCAUUAAACUCAUCUUCCUUUAAUAUUUCAGUAUCUGUGGGGAAGUGUAAUUAAACAGUGGACACAAAUCUUUAAGCUACUUCCUUUCAGCUGGCUUUUACCCCCAACCUACUGGAUCCACGUGGCAGUGCCUGCACAACAGGAAAGGGAAGUUAGGAAAGGGGAGGGAACCCUCUACAUAUCUUAAGGCUUCAAAGCUGGGAGGAGACAGAGGCCUACAGGUAGCCUUUUCUAUAAUCCCAGGAUCACGCUCUAGGGUGAAAUCUCCACUUAAUGGAUGCUUUCUCAAGUUACACUUUCAUAAGGCCUCAUUAAGAAGUACAUGAAAUACAGUAGAAGUUGAGAGUUACAGGUUUUGAACACCCGUUCAUAGGGUUCUUCCUGGAAUCAGCAGAACUAGUAACAGUUUAGAAGCCAAUAAACUUUCCUUCUUAAAUUUCGUAUUAAAUUUA